rnacentral:rRNA from 1 species
UACAGAGGUCCCAAGCGUUGUUCGGAUUCACUGGGCGUAAAGCGGGUGUAGGCGGUUCUUUAAGUCAGAUGUGAAAUCCUGCGGCUCAACCGCGGAACUGCAUCUGAUACUGGGGAACUUGAGGACGGUAGAGGUCGGUGGAAUCCCCGGUGUACCGGUGAAAUGGGCAGAUAUCGGGGGGAACACCAGUGGCGAAGGCGGCCGACUGGGCCGAUCCUGACGCUGAGACCCGAAAGCCAGGGUAGCGAACCGG